GACGAACGCUGGCGGCGUGCCUAAUACAUGCAAGUAGAACGCUGAAGGAGGAGCUUGCUCUUCUGGAUGAGUUGCGAACGGGUGAGUAACGCGUAGGUAACCUGCCUGGUAGCGGGGGAUAACUUUUGGAAACGAUAGCUAAUACCGCAUAAGAGUAGAUGUUGCAUGACAUUUGCUUAAAAGGUGCAAUUGCAUCACUACCAGAUGGACCUGCGUUGUAUUAGCUAGUUGGUGUGGUAACGGCUCACCAAGGCGACGAUACAUAGCCGAACUGAGAGGGGGAUCGGCCACACUGGGACUGAGACACGGCCCAGAGUGCUACGGGAGGCAGCAGUAGGGAAUCUUCGGCAAUGGACGGAAGUCUGACCGAGCAACGCCGAGUGAGUGAAGAAGGUUUUCGGGUCGUAAAGCUCUGUUGUAAGGGAAGAACGAGUGUGAGAGUGGAAAGUUCACACUGUGACGGUAUCUUAUCAGAAAGGGACGGCUAACUACGUG
rnacentral:rRNA from 1 species